rnacentral:rRNA from 1 species
UACGGGGGGAGCAAGCGUUGUUCGGAUUUACUGGGCGUAAAGGGCGCGUAGGCGGCGCAACAAGUCACCUGUGAAAUCUCCGGGCUUAACCCGGAGCGGCCAAGUGAUACUGUCGUGCUAGAGUGCGGAAGGGGCUACUGGAAUUCUCGGUGUAGCGGUGAAAUGCGUAGAUAUCGAGAGGAACACCUGCGGCGAAGGCGGGUAGCUGGGCCGACACUGACGCUGAGGCGCGAAAGCCAGGGGAGCGAACGGG